AUGAACCACCCUUCCCAAAAUAUCUUCCCACAAACCCACCCAGGGCUCCCCCCGAACUAUGAGACGCUCAAGGAAGAGCACGAGGUGGCCGUGCUGAGGACGACCCCCAACCCUGCUCCCACCGUGAUCCACAUCCAGAGUGAGACCGCUGUGCCCGACCACGUCGUCUGGUCCCUGUUCAACGCGCUCUUCAUGAACUGCUGCUGCCUGGGCUUCAUAGCGUUCGCCUACUCCGUGAAGUCUAGGGAUAGGAAGAUGGUGGGCGACCUGGCUGGAGCCAAGACCUACGCCUCCACUGCCAAGUGCCUGAACAUCUGGGCCCUGGUCCUCAGCCUCAUUGGGGCGGCUAUUCUGCUCAUAGCCAUCCCACUGUUCGUCACCCGGUCGCGUGGAUAG